AGAUUCUCCUAAGUCUAAAUCAAAGAAAAAGAAAAAAGAAAAACACAACAAAAAGAAAAGGAAAAAAGAGAACAAAAUGAAGAAAAAGAAAGAAAAGAAGAAAAAGAAAGAGAAAACAGGACCUGUUCAGCUUUCCAAGUUCUUUAAAAACAAAAAGAAGAAUGAAAACUACAGCAUGAUAACUGGCAAGAAAAUUAAGAUGAGAAUAAAGAAGACUAAGAAGGAUAAAGAGAGAGACCGCAACCGUGCAGAACUCCUUGAAUUUCUGAACUCUGCCUUGUAAUGGGAAGACCAAGGACUUGUAAAUAUACCAAGCCAACAAUCAUCAUGCCUAGCAAAACACUGAAGGGAAACUCAGGGAAAAGGACGCCAAGUUUGACAAGACCAGACUCCCCUGCUGAGAAGACAAUUGGGAUGUCCUUUUUUAAUGGCAAAAUGAAGAGUAACUGGUAACUUGUUAAUGAAGAUCCAUGUCCUUCUUUUGAGAUCCUGAGGUAAUAGCCAGGCUGUGGUGUUUUAGAAGAGCCUAAGAGUGUGUCAUUGACAAUGAUAAGAAAUGACACACUGAAGUCCAAUAAUGUAAUUUCGAUCCUAACUGCAUGCAGAACACACUUUUAAUUUCAAAUGUCUUAAAUGUUUGUAGUAGUUUAAGCAAAUCAGAGUACUUGUAAAUGUCUAUUUGAAAGAUGAGGCAUUUCUAUAUGUAUAUUUUUUCCAGUAGUGGUUUCACUUGUCUUAAAGAGCAAGUUGACCUGUGUAAAUAGAACAUGCUUUUAUGUAAACAAUUUUUGUCAGUUCAUUCACUAAUAUAUUAUUUCUUUCA